AGUGAACGCUGGCGGUAGGCCUAACACAUGCAAGUCGAACGGCAGCACAGUAAGAGCUUGCUCUUACGGGUGGCGAGUGGCGGACGGGUGAGGAAUACAUCGGAAUCUACUUUUUCGUGGGGGAUAACGUAGGGAAACUUACGCUAAUACCGCAUACGACCUACGGGUGAAAGCAGGGGAUCUUCGGACCUUGCGCGAUUGAAUGAGCCGAUGUCGGAUUAGCUAGUUGGCGGGGUAAAGGCCCACCAAGGCGACGAUCCGUAGCUGGUCUGAGAGGAUGAUCCGCCACACUGGAACUGAGACACGGUCCAGACUCCUACGGGAGGCAGCAGUGGGGAAUAUUGGACACUGGGCGCAAGCCUGAUCCAGCCAUACCGCGUGGGUGAAGAAGGCCUUCGGGUUGUAAAGCCCUUUUGUUGGGAAAGAAAAGCAGCAGGUUAAUACCCCGCUGUUCUGACGGUACCCAAAGAAUAAGCACCGGCUAACUUCGU
rnacentral:rRNA from 1 species